CACGUAGGGGGCGAGCGUUGUCCGGAUUUAUUGGGCGUAAAGAGCUCGUAGGCGGCUCAGUAAGUCAGGUGUGAAAACUCCAGGCUCAACCUGGAGACGCCACCUGAUACUGCUGUGGCUAGAGUCCGGUAGGGGAGCAUGGAAUUCCUGGUGUAGCGGUGAAAUGCGGCAGAUAUCAGGAGGAACACCAAUGGCGAAGGCAGCUCGCUGGAACGGUACUGGACGCUGGAGGCGACGAAAGCGUGGGGAGCAAACAGG
rnacentral:rRNA from 1 species